CUUUUCUAGGAUUGAAAUACGAAUUGUUUUGUACAUUGCGAGUGUUUUGCAUCCACGUGUGGGGCUGUUCCGUUGCUGAGGCUGCUUGCUCCAUAGACGUUGCCCGCCUUUGGUGGAAUCCAAGCCUUGCACACAUCUUCAAGUCCAUCUCGUCAAGUCGCCUCCCAUUGGUCGUGACUAGAAACACGACGGGCCGUUUCUUUGGUGGAGAUGUCAGUGGGGAGAUUGCAGGAUUCCAUCGAACAACUAGCCUACAAGAUUCAACGACUCAGCACAACUAAUGGUGAAAGGGAGAAUUGUGACACAUUGCCGAGGAAUUCUACAAGGCUGCGACCCGACACAACAAGCAAUGGCCUCCAGAGACGUCCUGCGUUGAAGAGGCGCUCCCACAACGCUCAGAACGCAUCGAAGAAGGGCACAGCUCGAUGUUGACCCUAAAUCGAGUGUAGCAUGGAGUCCCUCCUCUAUGCCUCAAGCAAGCAAAAAUCAAAGCUAACCGCUGUCACGCCAUGCAACAUCAUUCACUUCGGCGUGAGGAUUCUACGCACCAUUGAUAUUAUUGCUCUGAUAGAGAUUCCGAUUUUUCAGCAACUCGCCUGCAGAAUCCAACCAUUUAACAGAAACACUAUCUUGCACCUACUCAGCAGUACAUGGUGCUACGAUUUACAUCAAAUUCACAAGAAUUUUCCUCUCUUCGAAAGACGCCCACAGCUACUCGACUCAGGAAGUAGGUUCUAUUGAGCAACUUCAGUAAUUGGCACAGCGAUCUUCGCGUCAUCUCAUGCAGGACCGACCCACUACUCUCCAGCAACUGGGACGUGGGUCACCACAACUGCUUUGCAUUUGGGCUUUAUGACAUCAUGAUGUCCUUUCGAGACGACUAGACACGUUACUGCAUAAUAACCUGAUAAUGUAUCAAGGAGGGCUUCUCGGAGCAAGGAUUGACAUUGUUCGCCAGAACAUACCAGCUUGCCGACAUCGAGCUAUUGGAACGCCUACCUAAUUGAACCAGCUUUUAGAAACCUCUGGUAAGAUAUCCUACACACCAUGUCAUCACUUCCCCCAAAUCUGAAAAGCUCAUCAUAUCUAGGGCCCUUGCAGACACGAUGGGUUCUCAUCCAACAUCUUACUACACCACAGAAGGAUUCUCUGCAAUCAUGACCUCUGAGCCGUCAUUGACACCCCUCGACCUCGUCACAACAUCAACCCUUCUUCUAGCAAUAACACCUCUCAAUCUUCGUGAACUCCUGGUUUCUAUGACGCCACAAAGGCUUAUUGAUUUCUUCCUUGAGGAUCAAGUCCUUCACAAGCUUCGGCCUGUCAUGGCCACAAUGGACAGUUUGUUGCCUCCCAGGUCAUCACAGAUGGUUACGCCCUUACUAAGACCCACUUCAUCCUUUUUAGGCCAUCAUCCCUCCCUAGUCAACAUCAACAAAUUAUUGCUGCUAUCCUUUGGGAAACUCUCCUUAGGAGUUGAUUACUUGGCAUUUAUUAGCAACUUCACUGCUGUAGCGGAUGCUUAUCAAGCCUCAGAGGCAUACAAAGUAUUGCAAUAUAGUACUUUCCUACUCUGUGAUGCACAAGACUUGUUCGAAUCUUGCCUUAGCCACAUCACCCCACCCACUUGGACAUACAACCAGUAACUGGGAAAAACAUUAUUCAUGCCUCCUGAUCAAUGCAAUGUAGAUUAGGAUUACCUGAACUACACCAAGUAUUAUUAUAGUGACAAUGAUCUACAUUUUUUGAGGUUCACUCACCAUGCCAAACUCACCACAGGUGAUGGCUGAGAAUUUAUGUGGAAGGCAGCAACUUAACACUCUAUUCAAUCUC